GAUGAACGCUGGCGGCGUGCCUAAUACAUGCAAGUCGAGCGAACAGAUGAGGAGCUUGCUCCUCUGACGUUAGCGGCGGACGGGUGAGUAACACGUGGAUAACCUACCUAUAAGACUGGGAUAACUUCGGGAAACCGGAGCUAAUACCGGAUAAUAUAUUGAACCGCAUGGUUCAAUAGUGAAAUACGGUUUUGCUGUCACUUAUAGAUGGAUCCGCGCCGCAUUAGCUAGUUGGUAAGGUAACGGCUUACCAAGGCAACGAUGCGUAGCCGACCUGAGAGGGUGAUCGGCCACACUGGAACUGAGACACGGUCCAGACUCCUACGGGAGGCAGCAGUAGGGAAUCUUCCGCAAUGGGCGAAAGCCUGACGGAGCAACGCCGAGUGAGUGAUGAAGGUCUUCGGAUCGUAAAACUCUGUUAUUAGGGAAGAACAAAUGUGUAAGUAACUAUGCACGUCUUGACGGUACCUAAUCAGAAAGCCACGGCUAACUACGUG
rnacentral:rRNA from 1 species